AUUGAACGCUGGCGGCAGGCCUAACACAUGCAAGUCGAACGAGUGGCGGACGGGUGAGUAAUGUCUGGGAAACUGCCUGAUGGAGGGGGAUAACUACUGGAAACGGUAGCUAAUAACGCAUAACAUAGGAUGAGCCCAGAUGGGAUUGGCUAGUAGGUGGGGUAAAGGCUCACCCAGGCGACGAUCCCUAGCUGGUCUGAGAGGAUGACCAGCCACACUUGAACUGAGACACGGUCCAGACUCCUACGGGAGGCAGCAGUGGGAAAUAUUGCACAAUGGGCGCAAGCCUGAUGCAGCCAUGCCGCGUGUAUGAAGAAGGCCUUCGGGUUGUAAAGUACUUUCAGCGGGGAGGCGUUACCCACAGAAGAAGCACCGGCUAACUCCGUGCCAGCAGCCGCGGUAAUUC
rnacentral:rRNA from 1 species